rnacentral:tRNA from 1 species
UCCGGUGUGGUGUAAUGGCUAUCAUACUGCGCUUUCACUAGAGAGUGCCGCAGGGACCGGGGUUCGAUUCCCCGCAUCGGAG